rnacentral:lncRNA from 1 species
CUAGGAAUGUCUACUUUGUAUUAGCUCAUCACUCAGAGCUGCCUGGAGGCCUGCAUCCAUUUGGCAUGUGCAAAGAAACCAGUGGAUAUGGAGGGCCCGUUACCACAUUGGGCAGUGCAGCCCUCAGCAUCAUGCAAGCACAGACAGAGCCUACCUCCAUGUGGCUCUCAAGGGAAGGCAACACUGAACCAAGACCACAUGGACCUGCAGUGGCUACAUAGGUG